GACCCCUGGUGAUGUGGGAGUGUAGGACCUGUUUUGGGAGCCAGUUGUCAGGCUUCCUUAUGAUAUGUCCUGUCUAACAGAGCCGGUGCCAUAUAAACAUGGUUUCAAUGCUGUGAUGUUUUCU